AGCGAACGCUGGCGGCAGGCCUAAAACAUGCAAGUCGAACGCCCGUAGCAAUACGGGAGUGGCAGACGGGUGAGUAACACGUGGGAACGUGCCCUUUGGUUCGGAACAACACAGGGAAACUUGUGCUAAUACCGGAUAAGCCCUUACGGGGAAAGAUUUAUCGCCAGAGGAUCGGCCCGCGUCUGAUUAGCUAGUUGGUGAGGUAACGGCUCACCAAGGCUACGAUCAGUAGCUGGCUGAGAGGAUGCUCAGCCACACUGGGACUGAGACACGGCCCAGACUCCUACGGGAGGCAGCAGUUAGGAAUCUUGGACAAUGGGCGCAAGCCUGAUCCAGCCAUGCCGCGUGAGUGAUGAAGGCCUUAGGGUUGUAAAGCUCUUUCAGCGGGGAAGAUAAUGACGGUACCCGCAGAAGAA
rnacentral:rRNA from 1 species